AGAUUGAACGCUGGCGGCAUGCCUAACACAUGCAAGUCGAACGGGAGUAGCAAUACUCUAGUGGCGGACGGGUGAGGAAUACGUAGGAAUUUGCCCUUAAGUGGGGGAUAACCCGGGGAAACCCGGAUUAAUACCGCAUGACCUCGAAAGAGCAAAGUGGGGGAUCGCAAGACCUCACGCUUUUGGAGAAGCCUACGUCGGAUUAGCUAGUUGGUGAGGUAAUGGCUCACCAAGGCGACGAUCCGUAACUGGUCUGAGAGGAUGAUCAGUCACGACCGGAACUGA
rnacentral:rRNA from 1 species